GUCCACGCUGUAAACGAUGGGUACUAGGCGUCGGGGAGGCGACCCCUCCGGUGCCGUCGCUAACGCAGUAAGUACCCGCCUGGGGAGUACGGCCGCAAGGCUGAAACUCAAAGGAAUUGACGGGGCCCGGCACAAGCGGUGGAGCAUGUGGUUUAAUUCGAUGCAACGCGAAGAACCUUACCUGGGCUUGACAUGCUGGUGAAAGCCGGUGGAAACAUCGGCCCCUCUUCGGAGCGCCAGCACAGGUGCUGCAUGGCUGUCGU
rnacentral:rRNA from 1 species